CCCCAUUAAAAACCUGUAUUUUAUCUCAAGAGUGCCGUCUGAAUGCGGGAAAUGUUAUUUCAUUAAAUGUUAUUAAGACAAAAUCAAGAAUUUUCGAGGAAAUGUGGGUUUUAGUCGAGUUGGGGAGUGUGCUUGUAUAAAUUUCUGUCUACCCAAUCCUCUAUGGUGUAAUGUACGACCUGGUUGUGCUGUUAACUACAAUACUAAUCCUUCUAGAAAGUCGUGCUUGCGCCAUAAUGAAUUGCGCACGCGCGACCACACAUCUUAACGUGGGCAAUCUACAGUAUAUAUCUAAACGUGUUUUACAAUAAAUAGAAAGUGAAUAUACGUCAUGCACUAGAGAAUAAAUCUAGUUCUAUACGAAAACAUAUCUCUUAAUACGAAAUUUAAUAUAUAGCUAGCGGAUUUCUGUCAUAAAUAUUUCAAAUAUAUAAAUUUGCUUUCCGUAGAUCAGACCGAACUGAAAUAUCUAUCCAAGCAAAGGAUAGUAAAUACAGUGUAUAAAAAUAUUUCUAUUCGUAUGGUACUUGCCAACAAGCAAUGUGAUUGGGUAUAGUUUGAAUGAGAUCAUGGUCGUCAAAAACUCGUUUCAG
rnacentral:lncRNA from 1 species